rfam:Triticum aestivum genome assembly, contig: Triticum_aestivum_CS42_TGACv1_scaffold_307573_4AS
AAACAGGCUCUUUAUUAAAUCCACAGUUAUUCAUACGAGAGCCACUCAACAUUUUCAUUAUGGUCUUCU